GAUCUUUCAGCUAAUUUUUUCCCCUAGCCAUUCUAUCACCUCAUAAAUCCCAGUUAUGCUCCUGAGUUUGUGAGGAAGGAUGAAGGAUAUGUGGAAUUUUAGACCUAACUGGUGGAUUGGGUGGAUGGGGCAUGGGGCUUGUGUUUCUGCAGCACAGUUCUGAAAGGCUAGGCUUGUACCUGUGAGAAGAGAAGAUGGCAGAAUUAUAGAACAAAGGAGAAAUCUAUGAGAGUCCUUGGUUAAUUCUGUGCUGCCAUAGUUGGGGUAGGGGAGACUGGGGCCCUGGAAUAGAAAAUGAAGCUCCAUGAUUGCCCACCCCACCCCCACACUCUUGGUCCCCCUUUGAGUUGGAGGAAAAGUGUUGCUAGGCAACCCUGGAGUGGGAGAAACUUCAGCCAAUGAGAAUCCAAGAAUGAUCUGCAGAUACUUUCGCCAGAGACUAAGUGGCUCAUUAUACAGACCGGCAGAGAAGGCUUGUUGUUUUUAACUCUAUGGGUUCUGACACAGGUGACUGACAACUCUGAAGAACUUAAAGACCUAGGACUUUGAUCAGUGCCCUGUGAAUCCAGGGAUACCAGAGACCCUAAGAGUGAAGCAGGGUGCCCAUCUCUCUGGAGGAGAAAAUGGACUCAAGAUGCAGAAUGAGAUGAUUUUUGGAGGUGGCCAAUGUGGGAAAUCGUGUUACUGAUUUGAGAGGAGAAAAGACAAGCAAGUGAUAACAAGAAAACAAUUCAAGAUCUUAUGGAUGCUCUAGGACUUCUGAGUAAAGGAGAGAUAAAAAGUAGCUGAAGGCAGAUGCUUUGGAAAGAACACUGGAACAAAAGAAUAAAGAAAUAGAAGCAUUUAACAAGAUUUAUGAUUUUUUCUAUAUUUCAAAAAUUGUAAAAUUUACAAUAAUUUUAUUUGUAGCAAUUAAAAAUAUUUUCCCCAUUUACAUGUAAUAACAAUUUCAACAUUCAUGUUCCAAAAUUAUAAGAUCUAAAUCAUCUCCUUCACUCUCUACUCUUGGAGAUGGUAAGUAAUUUUAUCUGGGUUACACAUGUAUUAUUAUGCAAAACAUCAUUUGAUAUUGGCCAUUGCUGUAAGAGAAUACUCAUAUGAAACCAAAACCCCCCAAAUAAAAGCACAAAUAAACUAGUGUAAAAAAUAGUCUACUUUGAUCUGCAUUUCAACUUCAACAGUUCUUUCUCUGAAGGUGGAUAGUAUCCUCUGUCAUUGAUCCUUCAGAAUUGUCCACAAUUUGUUCAGCCAUUCCCCAAAGGAUGGACAUCCCCUCAAUUUCCAAUUCUUUGUUACCACAUAAAGGGUUGUUAUAGAUACUUCUGUACAAGUGGGUCCUUUCCCCCCUUUUUUGUUCUCCUUGGGAUAUAGACCUACUAGUAGUAUUUCAGGAUCAAAGGGUAUGCACAAUUUUAUAGCCCUUUGGUCAUAGUUCCAAAUUGCCCUAUAGUGUGUUUGGAUCAGUUCACAACUCCACCAACCAUGCAUGUGUCCCAAUUUUGCUAUAUCCCCUCCAAUAUUUAUCACUUUCCUUUACUGUCAUAUUGGCCAACCUGAUAAGUGUGAAG